GCCUCCGUGGCGCAAUCGGCUAGCGCGUUCGGCUGUUAACCGAAAGGUUGGUGGUUCGAGCCCACCAGGGGGCG
rnacentral:tRNA from 1 species